GCGAAAACUUUGCAAUGCGAGCAAUCGUGACAAGGGAACUCCGAGUGCCUGUAAAAUCAGGCUGUCCGCCAGUGUAAAUAACUGGCGAAGAAAGGGCCGGGCAAGACCGGUGCCAGCCGCCGCGGUAAUACCGGCGGCUCGAGUGGUGGCCACUAUUACUGGGCUUAAAGCGUUCGUAGCUGGCCUGUUAAGUCUCUGGGGAAAUCUUCCGGCUCAACCGGAAGGCGUCUCAGGGAUACUGGCAGGCUAGGGACCGGAAGAGGUGAGAGGUACUCCAGGGGUAGGAGUGAAAUCCUGUAAUCCUUGGGGGACCACCUGUGGCGAAGGCGUCUCUCUGGCACGAAACUGACGCUGAGGCUCGAAAGCGUGGGGAGCAAACG
rnacentral:rRNA from 1 species